GAUCAUGGCUCAGGAUGAACGCUAGCUACAGGCUUAACACAUGCAAGGUCGAGGGGCAGCACAGUGUAGCAAUACAGUGGGUGGCCGACCGGCGCACGGGUGCGUAACGCGUAUCCAACCUUCCCGAUACUCUUGGAUAGCCUUCCGAAAGGGAGAUUAAUACAAGAUGGUGUUUCACUUUCGCAUGUUAUUGAAACUAAAGAUUUAUCGGUAUGGGAUGGGGAUGCGUUCCAUUAGCUUGUUGGCGGGGUAACGGCCCACCAAGGCAACGAUGGAUAGGGGUUCUGAGAGGAAGGUCCCCCACACUGGAACUGAGACACGGUCCAGACUCCUACGGGAGGCAGCAGUGAGGAAUAUUGGUCAAUGGGCGAGAGCCUGAACCAGCCAAGUAGCGUGAAGGAAGACUGCCCUAUGGGUUGUAAACUUCUUUUGUUCGGGAAUAAAGUGCAGUAUGUAUACUGUUUUGUAUGUACCGUUCGAAUAAGCAUCGGCUAAUUCCGUG
rnacentral:rRNA from 1 species